rnacentral:lncRNA from 14 species
CAGUUAAGCUCCCCAAAGGCUUGACAGGUGCACUUAGGAGUGUUUAGCUUUGAUAGCACUGGGCAGAUUGAAAAUCACUGCUCCUUUUCUUCCUCUCUCUACAGGGGUCAGUCUUCAGGGUUGACCUCAGAGCACACCUCCUGGGUCAGACUUCACGGCACAUACUGGAGGUGCUUUUACCCACCUCUCAUUGGAAGCUCUUCCUCCCAUCUCUGAUGCCCAGGAGCAGCAAGCUUUUUGUGCUGAUCAAGAACUCCCUCAGCAGCAGUUACCCCAUCAAAUCCUACCUUAGAUCGUGACUGUGUGCAUGUAUGUCUCUAGGUUCCUGCACUGGAAAAUUACUUUUGAUAUAAACCCAGUUGCCUGUGCUGCCAUCCGUGUCAACAUCUCCACAAAGAAAGAUAGUUUCUUACUCUAGCAUGAACAGAGGAAGGGCACAACUACUUGGAACAAUUUUCCCAGUGAGCUGACAUUUCACACAAAGUGGCCCAGAAAGGACAGGUUUUUGUUUUUAAAGUAUGCUUACCAUGGGACUCCUAAACCUUCAUUUAGUUAAUCACCUAAACUAAAAGAAGCCUAAAGGCUCUGAGAUGCAAACCGGGCUCUAUCCUCCCUUUGGCUGCAUUUGUUCUGGUUAAUAAAAUGUGCCAGGGACCCCA